AUUCGCCCUUGGGGAAUUUUCCGCAAUGGGCGAAAGCCUGACGGAGCAAUACCGCGUGAGGGAGGAAGGCUCUUGGGUUGUAAACCUCUUUUCUCAGGGAAGAACAGAAUGACGGUACCUGAGGAAUAAGCAUCGGCUAACUCCGUGCCAGCAGCCGCGGUAAUACGGAGGAUGCAAGCGUUAUCCGGAAUGAUUGGGCGUAAAGGGUCCGCAGGUGGCAUUGUAAGUCUGCUGUUAAAGAGUUUGGCUCAACCAAAUAAGAGCAGUGGAAACUACAAAGCUAGAGUGUGGUCGGGGCAGAGGGAAUUCCUGGUGUAGCGGUGAAAUGCGUAGAUAUCAGGAAGAACACCAGUGGCGAAGGCGCUCCGCUAGGCCGAGACUGACACUGAGGGACGAAAGCUAGGGGAGCGAAUGGGAUUAGAUACCCCUGUAGUCCUAGCCGUAAACGAUGGAUACUAGGCGUGGCUUGUAUCGACCCGAGCCGUGCCGAAGCUAACGCGUUAAGUAUCCCGCCUGGGGAGUACGCAGGCAACUGUGAAACUCAAAGGAAUUGACGGGGGCCCGCACAAGCGGUGGAGUAUGUGGUUUAAUUCGAUGCAACGCGAAGAACCUUACCAAGGCUUGGCAUGUCACGAGUCCUAUUGAAAGAUGGGAGUGCCUUCGGGAGCGUGAA
rnacentral:rRNA from 1 species